rnacentral:rRNA from 1 species
UACGAGGGGGGCGAGCGUUGUUCGGAAUUACUGGGCGUAAAGCGCGCGUAGGCGGCUUUGCAAGUUAGGGGUGAAAGCCCGGGGCUCAACUCCGGAAUUGCCUUUAAAACUGCAUCGCUAGAAUUGUGGAGAGGUAAGUGGAAUUCCGAGUGUAGAGGUGAAAUUCGUAGAUAUUCGGAAGAACACCAGUGGCGAAGGCGACUUACUGGACACAUAUUGACGCUGAGGUGCGAAAGCGUGGGGAGCAAACAGG